CGAAAUCUUCAUUGCAAGUUCAUAAUUUCGAGUUUUCUUUUUAGUCCUGCUCAUUCCGUUCUGCAUGAAACUAGUUUGUAGCAACACAACCUCACCGAUUCCAUGUCCUACUCACAAAAGCAAAAGUAGCCCCUUUCCUCUUAAAAUCUCAAUUUAAACUAGAAAUCCAUCACAAUGCAUUUGGCAUUAAAAGCCUUUAAUCAAUACAAGAAAUUUCAUCUCGGCUGAAUAAAACUCAACAGAAAUAUUACAAAAUUUUGUCCUUCACUGGAGGGAUUUCAAGUCCCACAGCUCAACCAUCCUAGCGGCUACACGGCAGUCAUCCUUCCAUCUAAAAGAAACUAGCCACGCUAAAAAUCUGCUGAAUUCCUUCUCCAUAACUUGUUGCCAACCAUAACUAAAUGCAUCCAA
rnacentral:lncRNA from 1 species